CAGAAGUGGAGCAGCUAGGUCUAGAACUGGCACCCAUAUGGGAUGCUGGCCCUGCAGGCUGCGGCUUAGCCCACUGCACCACAGUGCCGGCCCCGCCUUGUAUUUUUAAUAUGUGUCCUUUUCUGUUUGAAUGAUGACACUACAUUUUUUUUUUAUUAUUGCAUUUGAAUGGAUUUUAGUCUUUUUUCAGAGAUCCAGCCACUGGAGGGAGGAGCCUGUUGUGUAUAAGAUACUGUGCUCAUCUGAAGCUGAAGGUAAACUCACAGGUGCUGAGGGGAACGGGAAUGUCCUCUGUGCUGUUACUCUCACCCGCGGAACUUCACAGACCUGCGUAAUGCCAGCACCCAGGACAUCUGGGGAACGUGUAAACAUGACUCAUGAUCUCCCAGCUGACUUCCUGGUGCACCUCAGGUCCCUCCUGCGUUGGCUGUAUCUUCAGUUUGGCACCGGUGAUGGUUCCUGCACGGAUCUGUCCUCACUGAAUUGGAGAAUAAAUGACACCGUGACAUAAAGUGACGCAGGGAGAGGCAGCUUCGGUCCUUUUCCUGUCGAGGAAAACAUCUCUGCACAAACUAAUAGAGAUGAAGGCAUCAGCAAGAUUGGGUCACCUGGGCCGUGCUCCUUUACAGCACUUUGCAGAGAGUGACGGGGAAAUUCGAAGGGGAAAUGAAGAUGCUCAGCCUGAUCAGGCCACGGCCAUAGCAGAGAGCUGGAUCAGAAGUGGAGCAGCCAGGACUCGAACCAGCGGCCAUAUGGGAUGCCGGCACUGCAGGUUGGCAGCUUUACCCGCUACGUCACAGCGCCAGCCCCUCAAGUAUUUUCAAAUGCAUCCACUGAAAUACAUCCCAGAUCUCAAGGUGCAACUCGUUCCGUAUCAGGCGCUGACUUCAGUGUGACAGACCUGCCAGGGCCGUGAAUUGAAUGCAGAAUAGGAGUGCAGAAGCUCUACUGCAUUAUAACUGCACCUCGUCAGUAGUUUUCAGCGAAGCCUGCUCUCUUGCUGCAGGGUAUUCUAUGGAGGUUACAGAAAACUAACCAAUUAUACAGUCCUUAAAGUUGCCAUUUCUCAUGUAUUUUUCAAGUUCAAGAGCCUUUGUUGACACCGGCAUUACCCCCAUACAUAUGUAGCUCGUCUCAUUCACCACAGGCGAGAGUUCCAGUAACUGUGAUCCUGCAGCAUAUUGGGGGAAACCAACCCUGGACUGC